GCCAGGCGUGGUGGCUCAUGCCUGUAAUCCCAGUACUUUGGGAGGCUGAGGCAGGUGGAUCGCCUGAGGUCAGGAGUUUGAGACCAGCCUGACCAACAUGGUGAGACCCUGACUCUA
rfam:Pan troglodytes isolate Yerkes chimp pedigree #C0471 (Clint) chromosome 15, whole genome shotgun sequence.